GACGAACGCUGGCGGCGUGCUUAACACAUGCAAGUUGAACGGAAAGGCCCUGCUUUUGUGGGGUGCUCGAGUGGCGAACGGGUGAGUAACACGUGAGUAACCUGCCCUUGACUUUGGGAUAACUUCAGGAAACUGGGGCUAAUACCGGAUAGGAGCUCCUGCUGCAUGGUGGGGGUUGGAAAGUUUCGGCGGUUGGGGAUGGACUCGCGGCUUAUCAGCUUGUUGGUGGGGUAGUGGCUUACCAAGGCUUUGACGGGUAGCCGGCCUGAGAGGGUGACCGGCCACAUUGGGACUGAGAUACGGCCCAGACUCCUACGGGAGGCAGCAUUGGGGAAUAUUGCACAAUGGGCGGAAGCCUGAUGCAGCAACGCCGCGUGCGGGAUGACGGCCUUCGGGUUGUAAACCGCUUUCGCCUGUGACGAAGCGUGAGUGACGGUAAUGGGUAAAGAAGCACCGGCUAACUACGUG
rnacentral:rRNA from 1 species